UACGUAGGUGGCAAGCGUUACUCGGAAUCACUAGGCGUAAAGCGCAGGUAGGCGGUUCGGUAAGUCUCUUGUGAAAGCUCCCGGCUCAACUGGGAGAGGUCAAGGGAAACUACCGGGCUAGAGUGUGGCAGAGGAAGCUGGAAUUCCCGGUGUAGCGGUGAAAUGCGUAGAGAUCGGGAGGAAUACCUAUGGCGAAAGCAGGCUUCUGGGCCGUCACUGACGCUGAGCUGCGAAAGCUAGGGGAGCAAACAGG
rnacentral:rRNA from 1 species